rnacentral:rRNA from 1 species
UACGAAGGGGGCUAGCGUUGCUCGGAAUCACUGGACGUAAAGGGUGCGUAGGCGGGUUUUUAAGUCAGGGGUGAAAUCCUGGAGCUCAACUCCAGAACUGCCUUUGAUACUGAAGAUCUUGAGUCCGGGAGAGGUGAGUGGAACUGCGAGUGUAGAGGUGAAAUUCGUAGAUAUUCGCAAGAACACCAGUGGCGAAGGCGGCUCACUGGCCCGGUACUGACGCUGAGGCACGAAAGCGUGGGGAGCAAACAGG